rnacentral:rRNA from 1 species
CUCGAGCGGAUUGUUGAGUUUACUCAACGAUCAGCGGCGGACGGGUGAGUAACACGUGGGCAACCUGCCUAUAAGACUGGGAUAACUUCGGGAAACCGGAGCUAAUACCGGAUAUGUUCUUUUCUCGCAUGAGAGAAGAUGGAAAGACGGUCUCGGCUGUCACUUAUAGAUGGGCCCGCGGCGCAUUAGCUAGUUGGUGAGGUAAUGGCUCACCAAGGCAACGAUGCGUAGCCGACCUGAGAGGGUGAUCGGCCACACUGGGACUGAGACACGGCCCAGACUCCUACGGGAGGCAGCAGUAGGGAAUCUUCCGCAAUGGACGAAAGUCUGACGGAGCAACGCCGCGUGAACGAUGAAGGCUUUCGGGUCGUAAAGUUCUGUUGUUAGGGAAGAACAAGUACCAGAGUAACUGCUGGUACCUUGACGGUACCUAACCAGAAAGCCACGGCUAACUACGUGCCAGCAGCCGCGGUAAUACGUAGGUGGCAAGCGUUAUCCGGAAUUAUUGGGCGUAAAGCGCGCGCAGGUGGUUCCUUAAGUCUGAUGUGAAAGCCCCCGGCUCAACCGGGGAGGGUCAUUGGAAACUGGGGAACUUGAGUGUAGAAGAGGAAAGUGGAAUUCCACGUGUAGCGGUGAAAUGCGUAGAGAUGUGGAGGAACACCAGUGGCGAAGGCGACUUUCUGGUCUAUAACUGACACUGAGGCGCGAAAGCGUGGGGAGCAAACAGGAUUAGAUACCCUGGUAGUCCACGCCGUAAACGAUGAGUGCUAAGUGUUAGAGGGUUUCCGCCCUUUAGUGCUGCAGCUAACGCAUUAAGC